rnacentral:rRNA from 1 species
GAUGAACGCUGGCGGCGUGCUUAACACAUGCAAGUCGAACGGUGAACGAGGGAGCUUGCUCCCUCCGGAUCAGCGGCGAACGGGUGAGUAACACGUGAGCAAUCUGCCCUGGACUCUGGGAUAAGCGUUGGAAACGACGUCUAAUACCGGAUACGAGGCGUGGGGGCAUCCCCAACGCCUGGAAAGAACUUCGGUCCAGGAUGAGCUCGCGGCCUAUCAGCUAGUUGGUGAGGUAACGGCUCACCAAGGCGACGACGGGUAGCCGGCCUGAGAGGGUGACCGGCCACACUGGGACUGAGAAACGGCCCAGACUCCUACGGGAGGCAGCAGUGGGGAAUAUUGCACAAUGGGCGCAAGCCUGAUGCAGCAACGCCGCGUGAGGGACGACGGCCUUCGGGUUGUAAACCUCUUUUAGCAGGGAAGAAGCGAAAGUGACGGUACCUGCAGAAAAAGCACCGGCUAACUACGUGCCAGCAGCCGCCGUAAUAC